rnacentral:rRNA from 1 species
GACGAACGCUGGCGGCGUGCUUAACACAUGCAAGUCGAACGGUGACGAGGAGCUUGCUCCUCUGAUCAGUGGCGAACGGGUGAGUAACACGUGAGCAACCUGCCCCAGACUCUGGGAUAACAGUUGGAAACAGCUGCUAAUACCGGAUACGAGACGGAGAGGCAUCUCUACCGUCUGGAAAGUUUUCGGUCUGGGAUGGACUCGCGGCCUAUCAGCUAGUUGGUGAGGUAAUGGCUCACCAAGGCGACGACGGGUAGCCGGCCUGAGAGGGCGACCGGCCACACUGGGACUGAGACACGGCCCAGACUCCUACGGGAGGCAGCAGUGGGGAAUAUUGCACAAUGGGCGAAAGCCUGAUGCAGCGACGCCGCGUGAGGGAUGACGGCCUUCGGGUUGUAAACCUCUUUCAGCAGGGAAGAAGCGAAAGUGACGGUACCUGCAGAAGAAGCACCGGCUAACUACGUG